rnacentral:rRNA from 1 species
AUGGAAAGGUCGUGCUUGGCCCAAUGCUUCCUCGCCCCUCCCAGCGAUGACCAAGUGGAGGAGACGUCAUUCAGAGUGAUCUGGCUGCUGGUGCUCCAGACCAGACCGGUGGCCCUUGUAUUCUCCUCCGGCACAGGGCAAUGGCAAGCCCUGAGUCGGAGCGAGCCGUUACCUGCCUUUUUGUUAUCGACGUGGAAGGUUUGGUUUGUGUCGCGCCAUUACGCACAUGGUUGCUUCUAUUGGGUUUCAGGUUCAGGUGAAAAACUGCUCGUGCUUGACAUCCAGAGGAUGGAGUUCUCCAUGGCUGACCACCCACCCUGUGUCAGAUUUCGGGGCGACGAUGUGGCAAUCGCGGAGGCAGGCCAAGGCAUGACUGUGAUGUUUGUGCCUAAACCGGACACAGAUCGCCGUAUUUAUACCGUUUGGCGGCGAAGCAAUGGUGGGAGUUCCGCCCAGUGGCAGAUGGAGACUGAGACGUUCUCGCUGGAUUCUGGGUCCUUGAUCAAGGGUGCAGUGGGGAGGCACUUGCUCCUAUAUCAUGUCGGAAGCGUGUCGGUCAAACCAGGUUGUUACAUCCGGGAUGUCAACACUUUGCAGCUUGAGAGGGUGUGUGAUUCAUAUCCCCAUCCGUCAGAAGUAUAUUGCAACUUCCCACCAUCGUUAUUAUCAUCACCGAUGGUGUCAAGUGUCCCACGCCACGCUGACCACCCAGGAGUGGACGACACUGUGCCGGCACCAGAACCACGAGCUGACCCUGGAGGCGUGGAAGGACCUACUGGUCAAGAACUGACGGGCCUCGCCGGGGGACCGCCGUGCAAGCGCCGUCGUCGCUGCGGCCGCUCAGGCUCCAGAACCCGCGGAGGCAGGUCGCGGUGGAUGGGGAGAAGGAGGCUGAGGCUUGACCCGUGGUGGAUGAGGGCCUGGGGGCGGAUGAGGGGCCAGAUCAAGGUGUUGUCCAGGACGGCUGCGACCAAGUCCUUUGGCGGCAGGGGCUUGCCUUGA